ACUCAAAGGAAUUGACGGGGACCCGCACAAGCGGUGGAGCAUGUGGUUUAAUUCGAGGCAACGCGAAGAACCUUACCAAGGCUUGACAUGGAAACGAAAGCAUAAGAAAUUAUGCCCCCCUUCGGGGCGGAUCACACAGGUGGUGCAUGGUUGUCGUCAGCUCGUGUCGUGAGAUGUUGGGUUAAGUCCCGCAACGAGCGCAACCCUUGCUUCCAGUUGCCAGCGCGUAAAGGCGGGCUACACUGGAGGGACUGUCGUGGUAACACGGAGGAAGGUGGGGAUGACGUCAAAUCAUCAUGCCCCUUAUGUCUUGGGCUACACACGUGCUACAAUGGGGUAUACAGCGUGGUGCAAAGCGGCGACGCGGAGCGAAACACCAAAAUACCCCCCAGUUCGGAUUGUAGGCUGCAACCCGCCUGCAUGAAGUCGGAAUCGCUAGUAAUCGCGAAUCAGCAUGUCGCGGUGAAUACGUUCCCGGGUCUUGUACACACCGCCCGU
rnacentral:rRNA from 1 species